CAUGCCUGUCAUCCCAGCACUGUGGGAGGCCAAUUCUUGUCUAUCCAGGAGACGGGUUUCACCAUGUUGCCCAGGUUAGUCUCAAACUCCUCGGCUUAACUGAUCCGGCUUAACUGAUCCGCUUGCUUAGGCUUUCCAAAGUGCUAGGAUUACAGGAGUGAGCCACCACACAUGGCCAGUCCUGGAAUUUUCUAGAGAAGGAUGACCAACGCAGCCUGUGGACCCUUCCUGGCCAGCUGUGGACCCUUCCUGGCCAUCACAUGAAGACCAGCGACCCCUCCUUCCAAAACUCACAGCUUCUCAGGAUGACUUGGGGAAACGUCCCCCGCUGUGAACCUCGGUGAGCCUGCCUGUAACAUACAGGUGAGGGAGAAGGCCAGAAAAGCUCAGUCAGAGUGACACUGACCCAGAAAUGAUGGGCAAAAUGGAGUGUGUGGCUUUUCCUGUAGGAGAGGGUGAUGCUUAGUUGUAAUUUGAAUUUUAAAUGGAUUCCAGUCCUCCGAAAAACAGGUGAUUAGACUCAAAUCACCUUGAACCUUUUCAUCUCAUGGCUUUAACCCACCUACAUGGCUCCGUGUUCCCUGUAGUCCUCUCCCCUGAGCUCUACAGUCCUGUGUCCAGUUCUCUCCUCUCUCUGCUAGGACAUCAAACAGGCAUCUCCACCUUCACAUGUCCAUAAGUGACUUCCUAAACCCCCAAAAAUUCCCUUGCAGUCCUACAAAUCUCAGAUGAGGGCGACAAUGUACCUCUAGGGGCUUAGCUGAGGUUGACAUCAUGUAUUUUAAAUAUGGGAAAUACAUUAUUUGUAAGUGUUGUAAUUUAUAAGGUAAAGAGAAAAUUACAUGUAUACAUGAAAGGAGUGAGAAAAUACAUCAUUUCCAAAUUUCUUUUGAGGUGUGGGGGAAAAAUGUUUCAAGACCUCAUCCUUAGGGAUCUGUGCUCCCAGGACCCCUCUGACCUCAUCUCCUGCCUGUGUCCUCCUCACUCCCUCUGCUCCAGCCAUGCAGGCCUCCAGCCAUACAGCUCAAGCCAUAUAGGCCUCUUUCCUUUUUCUGGGGCUGAGGUUGCUCCUGUCUCAGGGCCUUCUGGGCUGUCCCUCUGCCUAGGACUCUCUGGCCCCGCAGCUGCAAGUGACAAGCAGCGUUUCUUCCCUAAGUCUUUGUUCUGACAUCACUUUCUCUAUGGAAACCUUUGUGAUCGCCCACAGUCCCGCAUUUGACAUGGCAGCUCCACCUUCACCCCCACCUCUGGUCCGUGUUGCCUGUUCUGUGUGAUUCUUUUUGCUCCUUUGCUGUUCACUGGAUCCUGUUGAGAACAAGUCCCCAAGCAGAGAGCAGAGCCAGAAGGUGGGGCUGUGCUGGGCUGGCGCCCUCUGAGUGGAGCUCAACCCUGACUUCACAUUAGGGUGCUCAGACAUUUUGCAAAUACAUCUUUUAUGCUGUUUUAUCAAAGAUUGCUAUUAUCACAGGAUGGGACCCACCCUCAAUAAUACUUAUAACAGCGCUGGUGAUUCUCAUCUGUGUCCAGCAUUGAACGUCAAGGCAGUUUCCUCCAUGUUGAGAGCUGAGAUCAGCCUGUGAUCCACAGGGAGGAUUGGUUUCCAAAGACUCUUGCUAUGUAAUGAAGCCACCAGAGAGGGCAAAGAAAAGGAGCCAGGGAUGGCUCUUCCUCAGGGACACUUGACUUUUAGGGUUGUGGCUAUAAAAUUCUCUGCUGGAGUGGAAAUGCCCGAACACUAUGCAAAUGGCUUUAUACAGGGAAGUGAUGUUGGAGAACUACAGGAACCUGGAGUCUGUGGGUGAGGAAAACGUCUCUGCAGACAUGAGAAGUCUGCUCUUGUCUAUCUUGGCUCUUCCUGGCUUUAUAUUCUCUUUUGUGAUGUUGCCCCAUACAUGCUUUUGAUGUACGUGUCAUUGUUUUCUGUAGUGAUGACCCUCCCCUCUGUCAAGGAUAGCUUCUUAGAGACUCUUCUAUGGAGUGGGUUUUUCAUAAAACCAGAAAAUUCAUGAAAAACACUUUGACUAAUAAGAUUGAACAUCAUCCUGCUCUAGGCAGAGAUGUCCCUAGAAGCCCUGAGUGGAAAUGUCAGUGUGGCCCAGGAUACAAGAUAGAAAGCAUGACACUGACUGACAAGUGUUUCCAGCUGUGGUUCUGGUUUCAUGUUUUUGUUUUUUGUUUUUGUUUUGUUGUUUAGUUUUGUUUUUUUGAGACAGAGUCUGUUGAACAGGCUGGAGUGCAGUGUCAUGAU